GGUGACAAACCGGAGGAAGUGGGGAUGACGUCAAAUCAUCACGGCCCUUACGUCCAGGGCUACACACGUGCUACAAUGGCCGGUACAAAGAGCUGCGAUGCCGCGAGGUGGAGCUAAUCUCAAAAAACCGGUCUCAGUUCGGAUUGCAGUCUGCAACUCGACUGCAUGAAGUUGGAAUCGCUAGUAAUCGUAGAUCAGCACGCUACGGUGAAUACGUUCCCGGGCCUU
rnacentral:rRNA from 1 species